rnacentral:rRNA from 1 species
UACGUAGGGUCCGAGCGUUGUCCGGAAUUAUUGGGCGUAAAGGGCUCGUAGGCGGUUUGUCGCGUCGGGAGUGAAAACUCAGGGCUCAACCCUGAGCGUGCUUCCGAUACGGGCAGACUAGAGGUAUGCAGGGGAGAACGGAAUUCCUGGUGUAGCGGUGGAAUGCGCAGAUAUCAGGAGGAACACCGAUGGCGAAGGCAGAUCUCUGGGCCGUAACUGACGCUGAGGAGCGAAAGCGUGGGGAGCGAACAGG